GCAGUAGUGGCCUAAUGGAUAGAGAAUCGGACUUGCAACCCGAAGGUGAACCUGAAAGUUGUGGGUUCGAGCCUCAGUUCCAGCA